rnacentral:rRNA from 1 species
GAUUAACGCUGGCGGCGUGCCUAAUACAUGCAAGUCGAGCGAAUGGAUUAAGAGCUUGCUCUUAUGAAGUUAGCGGCGGACGGGUGAGUAACACGUGGGUAACCUGCCCAUAAGACUGGGAUAACUCCGGGAAACCGGGGCUAAUACCGGAUAACAUUUUGAACCGCAUGGUUCGAAAUUGAAAGGCGGCUUCGGCUGUCACUUAUGGAUGGACCCGCGUCGCAUUAGCUAGGUGGUGAGGUAACGGCUCACCAAGGCGACGAUCCGUAGCCGACCUGGGAGGGUGAGCGGCCACACUGGGACUGAGACACGGCCCAGACUCCUACGGGAGGCAGCAGUAGGGAAUCUUCCGCAAUGGACGAAAGUCUGACGGAGCAACGCCGCGUGAGUGAUGAAGGCUUUCGGGUCGUAAAACUCUGUUGUUAGGGAAGAACAAGUGCUAGUUGAAUAAGCUGGCACCUUGACGGUACCUAACCAGAAAGCCACGGCUAACUACGUGCCAGCCGCCGCAGUAA